rnacentral:rRNA from 1 species
AUUGAACGCUGGCGGCAUGCCUAACACAUGCAAGUCGAACGGCAGCACAGUAAAGAUUUCGGUCUUUAUGGGUGGCGAGUGGCGGACGGGUGAGUAAUGCGUAGGAAUCUGUCCUGGAGAGUAGGAUAACCCGAGGAAACUCGGGCUAAUACUGCAUGAUAUCGAGAGAUCAAAGGCAGGGGACCCUUCGGGGCCUUGCGCUCUAGGAUGAGCCUACGUCGGAUUAGCUAGUUGGUGGGGUAAAGGCCUACCAAGGCGACGAUCCGUAGCUGGUCUGAGAGGAUGACCAGGCAAACUAGGACUGAGACACGGCCCAGACUCCUACGGGAGGCAGCAGUGGGGAAUCUGGGACAAUGGGGGAAACCCUGAUCCAGCGAUGCCGCGUGUGUGAAGAAGGCCUUCGGGUUGUAAAGCACUUUAGUUGGGGAAGAAAAGCAAUGAGUGAAUAACUGAUUGCUCUGACGGUACCCAAAGAAUAAGCACCGGCUAACUCUGUGCCAGCAGCCGCCGUAA